GACGAACGCUGGCGGCGUGCUUAACACAUGCAAGUCGUACGAUGACCCGGCUCUUCGGAGCUGGUGAUUAGUGGCGAACGGGUGAGUAACACGUGGGUGACCUGCCCUGCACUCUGGGAUAAGCCCGGGAAACUGGGUCUAAUACUGGAUACGACCAGUGGCCGCAUGGUCUGCUGGUGGAAAGCCCUUCGGGGUGGUGUGGGAUGGGCCCGCGGCCUAUCAGCUUGUUGGUGGGGUGAUGGCCUACCAAGGCGACGACGGGUAGCCGGCCUGAGAGGGUGUCCGGCCACACUGGGACUGAGACACGGCCCAGACUCCGACGGGAGGCAGCAGUGGGGAAUCUUGCACAAUGGGCGAAAGCCUGAUGCAGCGACGCCGCGUGAGGGAUGACGGCCUUCGGGUGGUAAACCUCUUUCGGCAGGGAACAAGCCUGGGGGUUGUCUUCUGGGUGAGGGUACCUGCGGAAGAAGCACCGGCUAACUACGUG
rnacentral:rRNA from 1 species